GGGGGGAUAGCUCAGUGGUAGAACAUGUGCUUAGCAUGCGCAAGGUCCUGGGUUCAAUCCCAGUACCUCUA
rfam:Camelus ferus unplaced genomic scaffold scaffold760, whole genome shotgun sequence.